AUAUGCAUAUCAAUAAGCGGAGGAAGAUUCCGUAUGUGAAUUUGAGUAACGUCUGUCGAUAUGCGGAAGAUGCUUCUUUCAACGACGGAGCUCUUGGUUCUGGCAUCGAUGAAGAACGCAGCGAAAUGCGAUAAGUAAUGUGAAUUGCAGAAUUCAGUGAAUCAUCGAAUCUUUGAACGCACAUUGCGCCCUGUGGUAUUCCGCAGGGCAUGCCUGUUCGAGCGUCAUUAUAACCACUCAAGCCUCGCUUGGUGUUGGGGCUCGCAAUCUUGCGGCCUCUAAAAUCAGUGGCGGUGCCAGUAGGCUCUGAGCGUAGUACAUCUCCUCGCUAUAGAGUCCUAUCGGUCCCCUGCCAAAACCCCCAAUAUUUUUAUAGGUUGACCUCGGAUCAGGUAGGGAUACCCGCUGAACUUAAGCAUAUCAAUAGGCCGGAGGAAGGA
rnacentral:rRNA from 1 species